rnacentral:rRNA from 1 species
UACGGGGGGGGGCAAGCGUUGUUCGGACUUACUGGGCGUAAAGGGCUCGUAGGUGGCCAACUAAGUCAGACGUGAAAUCCCUCGGCUUAACCGGGGAACUGCGUCUGAUACUGGAUGGCUUGAGUUUGGGAGAGGGAUGCGGAAUUCCAGGUGUAGCGGUGAAAUGCGUAGAUAUCUGGAGGAACACCGGUGGCGAAGGCGGCAUCCUGGACCAACACUGACGCUGAGGAGCGAAAGCCAGGGGAGCAAACGGG